rnacentral:tRNA from 1 species
CGGGGUGUGGUGUAACGGUAGCACGCUUGGUUUGGGACCAUGUAGUUCGAGUUCGAAUCUCGGCACCCCGACAA